rnacentral:rRNA from 1 species
UACAGAGGUCUCAAGCGUUGUUCGGAUUCAUUGGGCGUAAAGGGUGUGUAGGUGGCGCCGUAAGUCGGGUGUGAAAUUUCGGAGCUUAACUCCGAAACUGCAUUCGAUACUGCCGUGCUUGAGGACUGGAGAGGAGACUGGAAUUUACGGUGUAGCGGUGAAAUGCGUAGAUAUCGUGAGGAAGGCCAGUGGCGAAGGCGAGUCUCUGGACAGUUCCUGACGCUGAGGCACGAAGGCCAGGGGAGCAAACGGG